rnacentral:tRNA from 1 species
GGACAGGUGGCCGAGUGGCUUAAGGCGCACGCUUGGAAAGCGUGUUAGGGUUCAUCCCCUACCAGGGUUCGAAUCCCUGUCUGUCCGCCA